AUUGAAUUUAAUUCAGGAUUAAAUGUUAUAUUGUAUAAUUUAAUUUAUAUUUUAUAUUUUAAUCUAAAAUUAAUAAGGAUAAGCUUAUUAAUUAAUUUAUAAUCUUAAUUUUUUAAAUUUUGUAGGAUUAAAAAUUUCCAUCAUUUAUUUUGUUAUAAUUAAUUUUAAUUUAUAUUUUAUUUUAGUUAGGUUUAAAUUUUUAUUAAAAAUAAUUAUUUAAUAAAAAAUAAUUGUUAUAAUGAUAAAAUUAGUAAGUAUAUAAUUAAUAUAUAGUAAUUCGGCAAAAUUAUCCUUCACCUGUUUAACAAAAACAUGUUCUAAUGUAUUUUAUUAGAUUUGACCUGCUCAAUGAUAUUUAAAUAGCCGCAGUAUUUUGACUGUGCGAAGGUAGCAUAAUCAAUUGUCUUUUAAUUGAAGGCUUGUAUGAAAGGUCGGAUGAGGGGAUAACUUUCUUUAUAUUAAAUAUUGAAUUUAAUUUUUAAGUUAAAAAGCUUAAAUUUUUAAAAGGGACGAGAAGACCCUAUAGAAUUUUAUAUUAUUUUAAAUUAUUAUUUGGUUAGUCUUAAUAUAAAUAAUAUUUUGUUGGGGUGACAGUGAGAUUUAUUAAACUCUUAAAUUUAUAUUAUUGUUGAUUAACAUAUUUAUGAUCCUGAUUUUUGGAUAAUUAGAU
rnacentral:rRNA from 1 species